UUUUUGUAUUAGGUGGAAAUGCCAGAAGAAAAGAAAAAGAAAAAGACAAAUGCAAACUUACAAGGGAAACGGAAACCAGCCCCCUUUAAUGGCCCAUCAUGCUCAUCUGGAAGGGAAAAAACACAAAAAAUCCUCCUCAAAGAAUGAAACCGAGCAAAACAGUACUUAAAAGUUAACAAAGGUUGUGGAAAGAAACCAACGCAUCAGCAGAGGAAAAUAGUUUCUAAAUCAAAAAGAAAUGGAAAAAACGGAGCAGCUCAAGAAAAGAUUCUGGUAGGAAUAUAAUUAUUCUUUUUUUAAUUUAUAUAAUGAUCUGAUUUUUAGCUCACCUGGCCAUAUGGGCCAAGUCAUCACUAGGCGUCCGUCGUCCGGCGUCUUUCGUCCCUCGUCCGUUAACUUUUACAAAAAUCUUCUCUGAUGAAACUUCUGAGCCAAAAUUUAAGCAAACUUGGCCACAAUCAACAUUGGGGUAUCUAGUUUAAAGAUAUGUCCAAUGAUCCAAACAACCAACCAAGAUGACCGCCAUCGCUAAAAAUACAACAAAUGGGUGUAAAACUUAGGUUUUGGCUUAUAUCUUUGAAUCCAAAUCAUUUAGAGCAAAUUUGACAAGAAACAAUUGGUUUUCAGGUCUAGAUCUAUCUGUCCUGAAAUUUUCAGACGAUCAGACAAGCUGUAAAUUCUUGGGUUGUUACCCCUGAAUAAAUAAUUUUAAGGAAUCUUUAGUUAUUAUCUUGAAUAUUAUUAUUGAUAGAGAUAGAACUGUAAACAGCAAUAAUGUUCAGCAAAGUAAGAUCUACAAAUUAGUCAAAUGACCAAAAUGACUAAUUGACCCCAUAAGGAGUUAUUGCUCUUUAAAGUCAAAUUUAAAAAUUUUCUUCUAAUCUUUUACAAAAGUCUUCUCCUCUGAAACAACUGAGACAAAUUUAAUCAAACUUGCCAAAAUCAGCAUUAUGGUUUAUGGUUAAAACAAAAUGUGUCCGAUGACCCUGCUAACCAACCAACAUGGCAGACAUGGCUAAGAAUAGAAAAUAGGGGGAAAUGCAGUUCUUGACUUGUAUUUCUGAAAUUAAAGCACAAGUUACAACGGUUGCAUUAUUUCAUGCAUCAAUUGUAAAUAAAAAAUAAAAUAAAAAAUUUAAAAAUAUCAAUGUAAGCGAAACAGUCUCCUUGGAGCAUCUUGCUCUAUCUUACAAUCACCUUUUACUAUAUAUAUAAGUGUUCCGAGCGACUGAACCGAAGCCAUCUGGUUGAGUUUGAUUCCUAAAUAGAUGUCCUCUACAUGUAUACUGUCUGUUUUAGCAGCAUUGACUCAAAAUGGAAAUACUUCAAAGAAACUUGUCCGUAACGGAAAUUCACACUUUAUUUACCCCUUAAAUGCUGGUUUACCUAAUACAUGUAAUACCUUUCUACAAACAAAAUUCAUGUAAAUUGAUUCCCUACGAAAUCAACAGUUGCUGUUAUUCACAAAGUUACACUUGUUUUUAUUUAGAUUGAUAUUUUAUAGUGUGUGUUUCUAGGUUGUGAUGUUAUACUACUUUUUCUGAAAAGGGAGAAGGUUUGGUACCAUCAAAACGUUUAAACCCUGAAUCUAGAAUAUGAUGUUCAGUUGUUCUCGUUUAUGUAUGUGGUACAUAAGUGUUUCUCGUUUCUCGUUCUAAUAAGACCGCAAAAAAAAUUUGGGAUCGUAUAAUACUAUGAUGUUGUCGUUUGCGUCGUCGUCGUCGUCCAAAGACACAAUGGUUUGGACAAUAACUUUAGUUUACGUAAAAGGAUCUUUAUGAUUUUUUUUCAGAAGGUUCAAUAUCACAAAAAGGAAGCCUGUGAUUAAUUUUAGACAUGACUGUCCCAAACGUUUAGGAAUAAGAGGCCAAAAGGGUCCGUAACAAGCUUUUUUCUAGUUUCAGGAUAAUAACUUGUGUAUAAAAAAGAAGAUGUGGUAUGAUUGCCAAUGAGACAACUAUCCACAAAAGACCAAAAUGACACAGACAUAAUAAUAACUAUAGGUCACCGUACGGGUUCAACAAUGAGCACAGCCCAUACCGCACAGUCAGCUAUAAAAGGCCCCGAUAUGACAAUGUAAAACAAUUCAAAGGAGAAAACUAACGCGUAUGAAUAUUUCUAUUGGUUUGAAAUUGUACCACAAUAUUUAAUACCACAAGUAGAAGGUUAGGAUUCUGUUUAGGGGUUAUGGGGCCAACAAUUUAAAAAUUAAGGGCCGAAAAGGGGCCAAAAACAAGACUUUUUCUUGUUUCAAACAAUAACUUGUAUGUAAGUGUAUGGAUCUCUCUAAAAUUGUACCACAAUGUUUCAUGUAACAAAGGAAAUGAUAGGAUUGAGUUUGGGCUUAAUUGCCCCAAACAUGAAGGAAUUAGGGGCAAAAGAAGGACAAAAAGAAGCAUUUUUCUAGUUUCAGACAAUAACUUGUGUUAAAGUGUAUGGAUCUCGCUGAAGUUGUACUAUAAGGUUCCAGAUGAAAUCUUCAAUUUGCACACUGACAGUAACGAGCAAUAGCUAUAGAUUUGCAAGAUUUUUGACCACAUUUUUUUUGUGUGUCAAAACCUAUAUUAUGUCAAGAAUUUGACCACAUUUCAAAUUCAGACAGUACCAAGCUUGAAUAUUGUGUCCAUACUUGCCCAACUGUUUAUGAUUCGACCUUUGCGGUCGUAUAAAGCUGCGCCCUGCGGAGCAUCUAGUUUAUAUAGAUAAGACAGUUGGUUUUCCGGUUUGAAUGGUUUUACACUAGUAGUGGGGCCCUUUACAGCUUGCUGUUCGGUGUGAGCCUAAGCUCUGUAUUGAAGACCGUACCUUGACCUACAAUGAUUUACUUUUAUAACUUGUGACGUGGAUGGAGCGUUGUCUCAUUGUCACUUAUGCCACAUCUUCUUAUAUUUAUUAACAUUUUACAUUACUGUGUUAUUAAUGAUUCGAUUCAUGCACAGUUUUGAACUUUUUGUCUGUUGUUUCUUACACUUUAUCAUCUUUGCUUGACAAUGGUUACAAUGUCAUGCCCAUUUCAACUGCACAGCGAUUUCUUUUAAGAUGGUACUCUGACUAGAAUCGUGUAUAGGUUCUAAUUGGACGAUACAGGAUUGCAAUUACUUCUUAUUAAAAGCUUAUCCAAUUUGGUGUAAAAAAUCCAGAAAAUCAAAAUAACAUUUUACAAAUUAUAGAAAAUAUGUUUAAAAAUCUUCACCUCAAGGUCAUUAAAAUUUACUUUUUUUAUUAAGUCGAUGUUUUAAGCAGCAUUUUAAUAUCACCAUACGGCCUUCAACAAUGAGCAAACCCCUAUACCCAAUAGUCGAUCAGCUAAACAAGGCCACGAAAUGACAAAUGUAAAUCAAUUCUAACAAGAAAACCAUGAUAAAAAAAUCAACGAAAACAAAAUAAAAAUAUGUAUCGCAUCAACAAACGACAAUCUCUGAAUUACAGGCUUCUGACUUGGGAAAGGCACAUACAUACAGAAUGUGGCGGGGUUAAAAAGUCAAAUAAAAAAAUUAAGAACUCCAAGGAAAAUUCAAUCGGAAAGUCCCUAUAAUCACAUGGCAAAAUCAAAUGACAAAACACAUUAAACGACUGUCAUAUUUCUGACCUGGUACAGGCAUUUCAAGUGUAGAAAAUGGUGUAUUGAACCUGGUUUUAUAGCGCUCAAUCUCUCACUUAAACAUGUUAGCGGGAUCCAAAACCUCUCCUAACCUGGGAAAGUGGCAUAACAGUACAACAUACAUUUGUAAGAACGAACUAUAAAUUUGGUUGAAAAAGGCUUAACUCAUCAGGUGGAUAAAUAGAAAUACAUAAAACAAAAACACACAGUGGACGUGGCCGGGUACUUGUAUAUCCAAACAACAAAAAAGACACUAUCCAUUUUUGCUGCAUGACCAUGUAUAUGGUUUUGAUUGUUAUGCAACACUGACAUAUCUAGUAACAGGAACUGCUACGUACCCUAUGAGAAUUGCAUUAUAGGAAUAAUUGUUCUUUUGUAUCAUUCUUGACCAACGGCAGCACUUGCACUCUCUGAAGUGUUGGGGUUUUAAAAAUGGUUUUGCCCACUAGUAUAACAUACAUGCUUGGAAGCAGGAACCAGAAGGAUUCGUUGAUAUUCAAACAUUUGCGUAUGAAAGUAACAUACAGGAACUUCAAUUAGUUGAUUAAGAACUUUCAAAUUGUCACUCAUUGUUGUCUUAUAAUGUUUUUGGGGCUCAGACUUGAUGCACAAUCACCACAUGGCAAUCGUUUAUUAUUUUUUCUACAUUCACACAUGCAUAUGCUCAUUAAAGGCCCUUAAUUUUAAUUGAAUAGUGCAAGUUACAACUGGGACCAAUAUUAUAAUUACCCCACUGAUACAAAAUUCUAUCUUAAACGGCCAAGAGUAAAGAGGAGGGGACUUGAUCAUAUUCCUUAGCCAGAUUAUAUAACUUAAAAUAAAUUUAUUUUGUUUUUAUGAAUAUUGGUGUAUUAUUUAGUUAAGUUCAUGCUAUUGAUACAUCUUUAUGUUUUAGACAGAGAUCAAUAUUAUGCGGUACUUUACUUUUUUCAGAUGAAACAAAGGCAACAAAGAAACAGAAACAAAGUACAUUCUUAUGUGAACCAAUGAUACUAUUACCAGAG
rnacentral:lncRNA from 1 species